CACCACCAGCAUAAAGACACCACACUCACACACACUCACUGUCUGGUCUCGUUUGCACUACCUCAUAUGUAUGCUUACCUUAAGGACUCCUAACGCCAUAUCUACCUGCUCCAGACGUCUCCUCCAGCUCCCUCGUCUCCUACUCCUCGUGUGUACUUACCUGCUGUGUGUGUGUGUGUGUGUGUGUGUGUGUGUGUGUGUGUGUGUGUGUGUGUGUGUGUGUGUGUGUGUGUGUGUGUGUGUGUGUGUGUGUGUGUGUGUGUGUGUGAGAGUGUCUCCACCGACUCCUUCCAUCAACAGCAUCUGCAAGAUAAAAUCAGGACAGUAUUAUCUUCUCUUCAUCUCUCAUCUCUCCAUAAUCUGCUUACCAUCACCCAGUGCUCUGCUUAACAUUAAUAAAACUUACCUGGAUUGUUAUUAUCUCUGCCUCCGUGUCUCUGUUGUAACAAUGGCACGCUACUCAGGUGAGCAGGCUCUUCAGUGGUCCUGGACAGUGAGGAAGAGUUCACAUUUCCUCGGAAGAACACGACUCUGACGAUGAACGUCUGUAUUUUGAAGAGCGACUUGAUCCAGCUGAAGAUACAGUUUCUGAUGAAAAUGUGGAUCCAUCACUCUCACAUUCACCUGCAAUUCCCACUAAGAGGGCACCCAGCAACACAGGCGGAAAUGAGAAAGACUAUAGCCCUAAUGAGAGUGCUCCAAAACCCCUUGCAAAAAGGCCAAGAAAAACAUUCAGACAAGCAACAGGCAUUCAGCUCUGUCAUGGAAAACAGAUAAUGACACUGACAUGGUUCCACAGACUCUGAGAUUCCUACCUGCACGGGAACCUGGACCACAGCUGCGUCCUGCUGAUGAACACACUCCUAAGAGUCUCUUCAAAAUGUUCAAAAUGCAAGGAAUAAUGCUGGUCGUCGGAACUGCAUGCUUUGCAAAGUACAGCUUGGUAAAAGGCAAGACACACCUUGGAAAUGCCAGGCAUGUGACAUUUACUUGUGUCUUCAGUUGAAAAGGAACUGUUUUCAGAAAUGGCACACAGAUGUGUGACUGUUCAGAUUCUCUGUUCACCACCUCUCACUGACCAUUGGGCUGCAAAGAUUAUCUAUAUGUGAUCAAGCAGGUUAUGUAUAGGGUGUAAAAGUGGGCUUUUUUUUUAUAAACCUUACCUUUAUUUGCCUGUAUACACAAAAUGUGCCUUUGACCCUAGUUUAUAUGUGGAUUAUAUUGUUAACUUUAUUUUAAAUAAAAAAGAAAAAAAAAACAA